UAAGGGAUAUUGCGACAAUGGGCGAAAGCCUGACGCAGCAACGCCGCGUGCGGGAGGAAGGCCUUCGGGUUGUAAACCGCUUUUGAGGGGGAAGAGGAAGGACGGUACCCUUCGAAUAAGUCUCGGCUAACUACGUGCCAGCAGCCGCGGUAAAACGUAGGAGGCGAGCGUUAUCCGGAUUUACUGGGUGUAAAGCGCGUGUAGGCGGCAGUGCAAGUUGUCUGUGAAAGCGCCCGGCUCAACCGGGCGAGGACGGGCAAGACUGCGCAGCUAGAGGCAGGUAGAGGUGUGUGGAAUUCCGGGUGUAGUGGUGAAAUGCGUAGAGAUCCGGAGGAACACCAGUGGCGAAGGCGACACACUGGGCCUGACCUGACGCUCAGACGCGAAAGCAUGGGGAGCAAA
rnacentral:rRNA from 1 species